GAUGAAGAACGUAGCGAAAUGCGAUAAGUAGUGUGAAUUGCAGAAUUCAGUGAAUCAUCGAAUCUUUGAACGCACAUUGCGCCCCUUGGUAUCCCGAGGGGCAUGCCUGUUCGAGCGUCAUUUCACCACUCAAGCCUGGCUUGGUGUUGGGCGACGUCCCCUUUAGGGACGCGCCUCGAAACGCUCGGCGGCGUGGCACCGGCUUUAAGCGUAGCAGAAUCUUUCGCUUUGGAAGUCGGGGCCCCGCCUGCCGGAAUACCUACUCGUAAGGUUGACCUCGGAUCAGGUAGGAAUACCCGCUGAACUUAAGCAUAUCAAUAAGCGGAGGA
rnacentral:misc_RNA from 1 species